UUUCCGUAGGUGAACCUGCGGAAGGAUCAUUAAUGAGUUGUCAUGGGGUUCGAUGCUGGCAGCCAAUUUUUGGAUGCAUGUGCUUGCCCUAACAAUCAUCUUCCAAACACCUGUGCACAUCUUUGAGGGAGUCUUGAGUUGGUUGCCGCUCUUGGGUGAUUUUCUCACAUUCCCUUAAAUCAUUAUACGCUAUUAACAAUGUUGAACGUGCUCUGUGCCGCAAGGCUAUUAAUAUAAUACAACUUUUAACAACGGAUCUCUUGGCUCUC
rnacentral:misc_RNA from 1 species